rnacentral:rRNA from 1 species
GACAGAGGAUGCAAGCGUUAUCCGGAAUGAUUGGGCGUAAAGCGUGCGCAGGCGGUUUUGUAAGUCUGUCGUGAAAUCCCCGGGCUCAACCUGGGAAUUGCGAUGGAGACUGCAAGGCUGGAGUCUGGCAGAGGGGGGUAGAAUUCCACGUGUAGCAGUGAAAUGCGUAGAGAUGUGGAGGAACACCGAUGGCGAAGGCAGCCCCCUGGGUCAAGACUGACGCUCAUGCACGAAAGCGUGGGGAGCAAACAGG